rnacentral:rRNA from 1 species
GAUGAACGCUAGCGGCAGGCUUAAUACAUGCAAGUUGAGGGGCAGCAUGAUAUACGCGAGUAUAUUGAUGGCGACCGGCGGACGGGUGAGUAAUAGGUAGGAGACCUACCUCAUACAGGGGGAUAGCAUAGAGAAAUCUGUGGUAAUACCCCAUGAGGUUAUAUGAAUAGAGGCAUAUAAUCAAAGCAUAAGCGAUUAUGCGGUAUGAGAGGGGCCUACUGACCAUUAGCUAGUUGGUGAGGUAAGGGCUCACCAAGGCGAAGAUGGUUAGGGGUUUUGAGAGAGAGACCCCCCACAUUGGAACUGAGAGACGGUCCAGACUCCUACGGGAGGCAGCAGUAGGGAAUAUUGGGCGAAUGGGCGGAAAGACCUGACCCAGCCAUGCCGCGUGAAGGAAGACGGCCUUAUGGGUUGUAAACUUACUUUCUACGCGAAUAGAGGUUAGUACGAGAUACUAAUAGGAAGGUAGUGUAGUAAAAGACACCGGCUAACUCCGUG